AUCGCCCUAACCUGGAUUCGAACUCGCACAGGAGGUGAAAUCUGAGGUUUAUACCAAGAGCAGAAACAUUGCCUCUGGGCCAAAGUGCCACUAACACGCGUAAUUGAAUCUGAUAAUCUCCGAUCUACCUGUUGAGUCUGUGUUCCUGAUUGAUUAGUUUUGCCUGCUGAGGUCAGAGGGGAGCUUUCCUCCUCGACCCUUCACUUUUAGCGAUUGUUAACUUGCUAAAGCGAGCGUGGGUGCAGUAGAGGAGGCUGGCAGCACAGUGUACAGGAUGUACUCUGCCCUUGUCCGUUGACAGCUGGGAUUGGCUCCGGUACUAUGAACAUUAAAAAACAAAGAAGGAAGUCCUACUUGUCAUGGUGUCUUUUCGGGAGGUGUGCUCGCCCUUGUUGCCAAGUCACUCACCAAUGAGUUCCUUGUUCCUGAUGUCCAGAGCCAUGUUUCUCAGAGCUGUGGCCACAGCACACACGACCCGAUCAUUGUCUAUCCUCAACAGCUCCACAAGGAUGGGAAGACCCUUCUCUUUGCGCACGGCAGCCCGAAUAUACAUUGACCACUGAGAGGUUAAGGGUGAAAGGUGUCCCAUCAUAAUGAUGCAGCCACAGUGGCACAGCAGCUCUUACCUUCCAGCUGCCAGCGGCUAAGUUCUGCAGGGCCCCAGCUGCUCCCUCCAGGGUGUCUGGGUUGGAACAUUCAGACAGCAGUGUGAGCAGCCAGAACUUUCUGCAUCCUUCCCACCAGUAUCACAUAACAGACCGUCCAACUCCUCUGACCCCCCCUGUUGACUCUGUGACGUCUCUGCAGCCAGACGGCACGGCAAACACAAACGUGGUAAGACACUGACCGGAGACAGCCCGUGGCGUUGCGAAGAACCUGUGAGGAGUGGAGUUGCUGCUUGCAGUCCUGUGGGGAGUUGUCCCAGCCUGAGUGAGGGACUAUCACAGCAUUGCAGUCUCACCAGAGCGGGGAUGCCUCCACAGUUCUUCAGGGUUAUCUUGUUGUCGUCAUUGACUUUGCCGUACACCAGGUUCCUCAGUGCUCCACAGGCACUGCGGUGGACAUCUGUCAUCCUGUGGUCCAACAGGUCCACCAGCAGCUGGAUGCCACCCUGCCGCCGGAUCUAAGGACAGAGAAAGAAGAAGAGAAAUGAAGACAAAGCCACAAAACAUUUUUUCAUCAGCCCUGAAGGUGCUGGAGGUAAGCAGCAGCGUUGGACUGAACAGAUGGAAACUGAUGCUGUAACAUCUGGAUCACCUCUGGCAGCUCUGGAUCCCUCCAGCCAAACUCCCUACAGAGGAAGAAAAGAUACCAUUGCAGGAAAUUUUACGUGAAGGAAUGGAGCGGGAGAAGGAGACAAAGGAUAUAAAUAUGCAGCUCCAUCAUUCUCCUCUAGAAGCCCCUCCUUCGUCCUGGUGGUGCUGGACUUACUGUCUGUUGUCGUGGUGUCCUGUGAGUCCAAAAUGCCUGAUUCCUGGAGGGAUCGAAUGCAUGAGUCCACCAGCUCCAGGCCUGUUGUCAACUCUUCUUCUAUGUCCUUUGGUCCAUCUACCUCACCGUGAUUAAAAGUGUGUAUGUUGGCAACAUGAAACAACUGUUUGCCUGGACAUUGGACAUUCCUGGACUGAACAUCCAGAACCUUCCAGCAUGAUGCAGAUGUGUUGACUAUAGAGAAGAUGAACGGCUUGAAGAACAAAGACAACACGUGAUGAAAACCAAAACAGCAUUGAUCUCAAUCCAGGGACACGUCAGAGGUCACAGAGGAGCUGGAUCCAAUCCCACCACUCAUCAGGCAUCAGUGGUCUUCACCAAUCCAUCACAGGACCAUGUACAGAGGCAAACAACCAUUCACACUCACAUUCACACCGACGGUCAAUUCAGAGUGAACCAGCAGGAGGCAAGAGCACUAACCACUCUUCCACAGAGUGGCCCUUGGGUAAGAUCGAACCGCUAUUAUCUCUCUCUUCAUCCUUGUGUCCCCCUUUUUAGCCUUUCACUUUUUACUCUUUCACCUCACAAGGCCAUUACGAGGCUGUAGAUCGUCUGACCUGGUUGGACUAGAAAAGCUAUUUCACAGUAUCACUCUGACUUUAAAGAAAGGCUGCAGUCUAAAACAUGCAUGAGUUUUUCUCUUCUUCUUCUUCCUUCUUUUACUCUCAGCAAACACUGGUUAUCUUUAGCUUUAAAGUGCAUUUCUCACAUCCAAUAAUACUCACCGACACAUGGUGUAGGCCGCCACGAGCAAAACAACAACUGUACUGCACCAAACCCACACACACUGUGCACAUUUGAGAAGCUUUCAUUUUUUCAAAGUGGUACAAAGCAGCUCAUUAGCAUUGGAAAUUUGAUUUUAUUCCUCCUCCUGUUUCUCACUUUGUAUCACCUUGUAAUAACGGAAGAGAUUAUCGAUGUCUGAGGCAAAAAAAACCAACAGUUUAAGCACAUGGGAAACUCUGCCAGAAGUUUUAAGGAAAAAAAUGUGCAUUACUGCCAGAGCUAACUGUGGUUAACUACAGCAGGGCUGACAGAAGACGAAUAAAUAAAAUAACAACUUUAAAAUAUAUAUGUUAAAGAGAGUACGAUUCUAUAGAAAAAAAAGGAAAAGGAAAAUUUUAAAUUAAAAACUUUAAAAUAACUUAACAUAAAAUAUGAUGACACACAUAAAAAUGCAGAAAUCGAACCUGUUC